rnacentral:rRNA from 1 species
UACGUAGGGAGCAAGCGUUGUCCGGAAUCAUUGGGCGUAAAGCGCGCGUAGGUGGCUUCGUAAGUCCGUUGUGAAAGUCAAAGGCUCAACCUUUGAAAGCCGAUGGAUACUGCGGAGCUAGAGUACGGAAGAGGCGAGUGGAAUUCCUGGUGUAGCGGUGGAAUGCGCAGAUAUCGGGAAGAACACCCGUGGCGAAGGCGGCUCUCUGGGACGGUACUGACGCUGAGACGCGAAAGCGUGGGGAGCGAACAGG